UCCCAGGGGGGACGGGGGGGACACGACCCCCCCAUCCUGGGGAAAAUAUGAUUUGUCCCCCCCAAUAUAUCACUGUAAACAUAACUAUGUAAUUUCAAUAAUAUUAAUAAUACGCAAUGAAAGCACUUGUACUGAUUAUAGACACUUAAUAGCGCGUUUUUAAAUUUCACAAGAUUGCGACCCCCCCGCCCUUUGCCUCACAAUGGUUUGAUCCACUGCCAGUUCUUUAGCUGGCAAGGUAAUAGAGGGCUCGUAUCUACUGUCCGAAAGGCACUCAAUGUACGUAACUGACGUGAGGUAAUCCAGUCAAUCGCGCCUUAGCAAUGUAUAUAUUUUUUUCAUGUUGCAGGGUUCACACACUAGCUGAAUUUGCAGAGCUAGCGCGCAAACUAAAACAAACAUUAACUAUCAAGCUAGCUAGUACCUAUUCCAUUUAUGUGGCGUCGUCAAAGAUGGAAUAUUUGCUAUCGUCAGUUUAUUCCAAGAUUAGCAUGCAGCUGUAGUGCUUCAAAGUCCCUGUGAUAAGGUUAGCGAUAAACUGAAGUCCAAACUGAACAAAACUACACUCUCUUAUACCAUUGUCUUAAAUAUAUUUAAUGGUCUCGUUGCAAAAGCUAAAUUGUCGCUAGUGAAUUUUUUAUUUUUUUCACCUUUAACCAGGUAGCAAAGAUUAUAGCAAACACCACAGAAACGGAAUUGGUGCUCGCUAGCUUUGCAAAUUCAGCUAUUGUUGGAAGCCUGCCAAUAUGAAACAAACUAUGUUAAAAUUUCAAAACGUUGCAGCAUGUGUUGUGUAAAUGUGUGUGUGCAGCUAGACCGGUCAGCCAGCCAGCCAGGUAGAAAAAUGUCAGAAAAAAGUAAAAAGACGGACAUCAGAGUAUUUUUCAGUACACCAAAACGCAAAGCAGAGCAGGCAACAGAUGGCACACAGACAGCAGAGCUGGGGACAGACUGGCAGAGACAGGGAGUCUCAGGAGACAGACUGUGAGUCAGUGAGGGUGGUGAAAGGGAAAGAGCCAAGGAGAGAGACUUGAGGACAGUGUCACAGCCACGGCAGGACCAGGUGUCACCCUUGUUGCCAGCAGCACCAGUAUAGGGGACAGUGGCACAGCAUCGUCCAGUUACCUCAGUGAUGACACAAAACCAUAUCAGCCACACCCACAAUUUAUAGAACCGCAAACUCUUGCAAACGUUUCAAGAGAGAGGAACACUGCACUGAUAAGGAACAUUGCUAUAACUAUUAUUAUUAGUAGUAUUAUAAUGAUUUAAACAAGUUGGGACAACCCUUCAGUUAACUACUGUACCUAACAAUUACUCAGUAGUAGUGAUUAUGGUCCCUCAAUAUACAUUUAACAUAUUACAACAUAGUCUAUGUGUUACAGCACUACUUUUGGUGUCCCCCUCAGGAAUUGCUCCUGAGAAAAUUUCAUGUAAUUGUCCCCUCCAAGGUUGAUAUCAGAUUUUCG